UAAGGAAUAUUGGUCAAUGGCCUUUAGAANGGAACCAGCCAUGCCGCGUGAAGGAUGAAGGCCCUCUGGGUUGUAAACUUCUUUUAUCUGGGACNAAAAAAGGGCUUUCUAGCUCACUUGACGGUACCAGAGGAAUAAGCACCGGCUAACUCCGUGCCAGCAGCCGCGGUAAUACGGAGGGUGCAAGCGUUAUCCGGAUUCACUGGGUUUAAAGGGUGCGUAGGUGGGUCUGUAAGUCAGUGGUGAAAUCUCCGAGCUUAACUCGGAAACUGCCAUUGAUACUAUAGGUCUUGAAUCAUCUGGAGGUAAGCGUUUUAUGUCAUGUAGCGGUGAAAUGCUUAGAUAUGACAUAGAACACCAAUUGCGAAGGCAGCUUACUACGGGUGUAUUGACACUGAGGCACGAAAGCGUGGGGAUCAAACAGGAUUAGAUACCCUGGUAGUCCACGCCCUAAACGAUGGAUACUCGACAUCAGCGAUACACUGUUGGUGUCUGAGCGAAAGCAUUAAGUAUCCCACCUGGGAAGUACGACCGCAAGGUUG
rnacentral:rRNA from 1 species